GUAGGUGAACCUGCGGAAGGAUCAUUAUUGAAUGAAUGUAGAGUCGGUUGUCGCUGGUCCUUUCGGGGGCAUGUGCACGCCUUCUCUUUCAUCCACACACACCUGUGCACUCGUGAGACGGAAGCCCUCGGGCGUCCGUCUGCUCUACAUAAACUCAUAUCUAUAAUUUGAAUGUAAUUGAUGUAACACAUCUUUAAACUAAGUUUCAACAACGGAUCUCUUGGCUCUC
rnacentral:misc_RNA from 1 species